GCAAGUCGAACGCUCUCGUAUCUUCGGAUUCAAUGAGAGAGUGGCGAACGGGUGAGUAACACGUAACAAACCUGCCCACCAGACGGGGAUACCCAUUGGAAACGAUGGUAAUACUGGAUAAGAUAUUUUACCGCAUGGUGAAAUAUUUAAAGAAGCUUUCGGGCUUCACUGAUGGAUGGUCUUGCGCUGCAUUAGCUAGUUGGUAAGGUAACGGCUUACCAAGGCGACGAUGCAUAGCUGGUCUGAGAGGAUGAUC
rnacentral:rRNA from 1 species